rnacentral:rRNA from 1 species
UUGACGGGGCCCGCACAAGCGGUGGAUCAUGUUGUUUAAUUCGAUGAUACGCGAAGAACCUUACCAGGUCUUGACAUCCCCCGCGAUGCUUUAGAGAUAAAGCGGAGGUAUUCGGGGAGACAGGUGGUGCAUGGUUGUCGUCAGCUCGUGUCGUGAGAUGUGGGUUAAGUCCCGCAACGAGCGCAACCCUAUUGCUAGUUACCAUCAUUAAGUUGGGGACUCUAGCGAGACUGCCAGUGAUAAACUGGAGGAAGGUGGGGAUGACGUCAAAUCAUCAUGCCCCUUAUGACCUGGGCUACAAACGUGAUACAAUGGCUGGAACAAAGGGAUGCGAAGCAGUGAUGUGGAGCGAAACCCAUAAAAACAGUCUCAGUUCGGAUUGAAGUCUGCAACUCGACUUCAUGAAGUCGGAAUCGCUAGUAAUCGCGGAUCAGAACGCCGCGGUGAAUACGUUCUCGGGGUUU